CCUACGGGUGGCAGCAGUGAGGAAUAUUGGUCAAUGGCCGUAAGGCUGAACCAGCCAAGUCGCGUGCAGGAAGACGGAUCUAUGGUUUGUAAACUUCUUUUAUAGGGGAAUAAAGGUAUCCACGUGUGGCUAUUUGCAUGUACCCCAUGAAUAAGCAUCGGCUAAUUCCGUGCCAGCAGCCGCGGUAAUACGGAGGAUGCGAGCGUUAUCCGGAUUUAUUGGGUUUAAAGGGAGCGUAGGUUGUUUUUUAAGUCUGCGGUGAAAGUUUGUGGCUCAACCAUAAAAUUGCCGUUGAAACUGGAAGGCUUGAGUGUGUUUGAGGUAGGCGGAAUGCGUGGUGUAGCGGUGAAAUGCAUAGAUAUCACGCAGAACUCCGAUUGCGAAGGCAGCUUACUAAGCCAUAACUGACACUGAAGCACGAAGGCGUGGGGAUCGAACAGGAUUAGAUACCCGUGUAGUC
rnacentral:rRNA from 1 species